rnacentral:rRNA from 1 species
GAUGAACGCUGGCGGCGUGCCUAAUACAUGCAAGUCGAGCGAACAGACGAGGAGCUUGCUCCUUCGACGUUAGCGGCGGACGGGUGAGUAACACGUAGGUAACCUACCUAUAAGACUGGGAUAACUUCGGGAAACCGGAGCUAAUACCGGAUAAUAUUUCGAACCGCAUGGUUCGAUAGUGAAAGAUGGCUUUGCUAUCACUUAUAGAUGGACCUGCGCCGUAUUAGCUAGUUGGUAAGGUAACGGAUUACCAAGGCAACGAUACGUAGCCGACCUGAGAGGGUGAUCGGCCACACUGGAACUGAGACACGGUCCAGACUCCUACGGGAGGCAGCAGUAGGGAAUCUUCCGCAAUGGGCGAAAGCCUGACGGAGCAACGCCGCGUGAGUGAUGAAGGUCUUCGGAUCGUAAAACUCUGUUAUUAGGGAAGAACAAACGUGUAAGUAACUGUGCACGUCUUGACGGUACCUAAUCAGAAAGCCACGGCUAACUACGUG